rnacentral:rRNA from 1 species
UACGGGGGGGGCAAGCGUUGUUCGGAAUUACUGGGCGUAAAGGGCUCGUAGGUGGCCAACUAAGUCGGACGUGAAAUCCCUCGGCUUAACCGGGGAACCUGCGUCCGAUACUGGUUGGCUUGAGUUUGGGAGAGGGAUGCGGAAUUCCAGGUGUAGCGGUGAAAAUGCGUAGAUAUGCGGAGGAACACCGAUGGCGAAGGCAAUCCCCUGGGCCUGCACUGACGCUCAUGCACGAAA